UGACCAUUCGCAAGUUCGCUCUUACUCUCAGAGAGUAAGUGGCUGAUUUGAACGGUGCACACACGGAGUGAGAAAGGAUCAGCGUUCGCCUCUAACUCAGUGAGUGUACCAAAUUCAUCAUCAACCAUUUCUGCUUCAUGUGCAAGGGAGAAAGAUUCUGCCCCAGAAGGAAACCUCUCCGGUCUGGAUUCUCCAUCCUGAAAACUGAGGUCUAUGGGUGCAGAAACCCUCCAGUUCCUUCUCAAUGUACCAAGCAAACAUGACUCGGGGAAGGGACAUCUCUUAGAACUGUGAGAUGAGCUGCGGUAAUUCGUACAGUUUCCAAGGAAACAGGAAUUUCAGGAGCCAAUUGAGAAUCGUCUAAUGAAACAAGCUUGUGGCAUUGCCUUGGGAUCAAACUCUUCCAGCUGGGUCUCCUCGCGUUGAGCCUCGUUGGAGAAGCUGCUGCAGGAUUGGCCAAGGAUCCAGAGGCCGGAU